UGGGGAAUAUUGGACAAUGGGCGCAAGCCUGAUCCAGCCAUGCCGCGUGUGUGAAGAAGGCCUUCGGGUUGUAAAGCACUUUCAGCGAGGAAGAACGCCUAGGGGUUAAUACCCCCUAGGAAAGACAUCACUCGCAGAAGAAGCACCGGCUAACUCCGUGCCAGCAGCCGCGGUAAUACGGAGGGUGCAAGCGUUAAUCGGAAUUACUGGGCGUAAAGCGCGCGUAGGUGGCUUGAUAAGCCGGUUGUGAAAGCCCCGGGCUCAACCUGGGAACGGCAUCCAGAACUGUCAAGCUAGAGUGCAGGAGAGGAAGGUAGAAUUCCCGGUGUAGCGGUGAAAUGCGUAGAGAUCGGGGAGGAAUACCAGUGGCGAAGGCGGCCUUCUGGACUGACACUGACACUGAGGUGCGAAAGCGUGGGUAGCAAACA
rnacentral:rRNA from 1 species